CUCCAUGAUUAAUUGAGUCAAUAUAUGGAUGACAGAUGUCAAUGUAUUUUAUUGUGUCUGUUGGCACUAAACAUUAAUAAAUGCUCAUUUUAGGUCAUGUUAUUUCAACAACCACAGGUUAACAGACAAUGACAGUGACAUCCCUACUGAUGGAUGCAUAACUACUAUAUGCAUUUACAGUAUGUAGCAUUUAUGAAUAUAUUACACAUAGUUCAUGAAUAUGUUGUGCGUUUCCAGUCAAAAAAAAGCAUAACGUUUCCAGUCAACCCUUUUCCUCUUCAGCACCUGGCACUGAAAACUCAUGAUCCAACAUACACUCUCACCUCCUGCAACUCUCAUGCAAUCUAUGAAUAGAACUGCAUUUUCCAUUGCUGUUGACUCCUGUGGUGCCGCUUGAAACACGCAAGCAGACUAUGUGUGUGGAGAGGUGAUGCCUAAGUGUUGGUCAUCAUUGCACACUGAUUGCAACUCGUUACGGCAUGAUAGCAGUCAGUCCCGCUCUGCUCCAUCUGUUGCAAUGGAGACACUGUUAUUGCCUGGCAUUGCAUUUGACGGUGUACACUACAGUAUGUACACGGCCCUGUCUGGGCAGUUGUGUCAUCCCUAAGAGCUUAUACACACACACACACACACACACACACACACACACACAAGCCUUAACCGUGGCGCUCUGAGGUCAGAAAAAGGGCUCUAACAUGGAGAUGUGAAGAAAAAUCAUUCCUGAGUGAAAAAGUUCACCUCAAGUCAGUCUCUCCUUUACUCACUUUCUGUGCCUCUACUUCUUUCUCAACCUGUGGCUUGUCUGCUUCUGUUUCUUUUUACUUUCUCUCUCUCUCUCUGCUCUCUCCUUUCUACCUGUCAAUCAUGCUCCUUGCCAAUUUCUUAGCCCAUCUACUCUCUCACUCACUUUUUUAUUAUGUCCCUAGCUACUUCUCAUUCACACACUGUCUGACUCAAUACCUGUCAAUCUCUUGGUUUCUCUUUCACUUCUUAUCAAUGCUCGUCUUCCCUUUGAAUCUUUCUCCUCUUCUUUACUCUUCCUCCCUUAACCUUUUCUCUCAACCUUUCUUUAUAUCUACCUCUUGUUUUGUCUUCUCCACUCUUCCUCUCUCUCCCUCUGUCUCUCUAUUUCUUCCUCUCUCUCGCUCACCCCCUCAUGCGUUUCUGCCUACCACUGUUCAGCAGGUGUCAGGUCUUGCACAACCUCCCCUGUGUGCUGUGUUGUCUGACUGUGUAGCUGUGCAGUCAGUGGAGCUGGAG
ensembl:lncRNA